AACGAACGCUGGCGGCAUGCCUAACACAUGCAAGUCGAACGAGAUCUUCGGGUCUAGUGGCGCACGGGUGCGUAACGCGUGGGAAUCUGCCCUUUGGUUCGGAAUAACAGUUGGAAACGACUGCUAAUACCGGAUGAUGACGAAAGUCCAAAGAUUUAUCGCCAGAGGAUGAGCCCGCGUAGGAUUAGCUAGUUGGUGUGGGAAAGGCGCACCAAGGCGACGAUCCUUAGCUGGUCUGAGAGGAUGAUCAGCCACACGGGGACUGAGACACGGCCCAGAAUCCUACGGGAGGCAGCAGUGGGGAAUAUUGGACAAUGGGCGACAGCAUGAUCCAGCAAUGCCGCGUGAGUGAUGAAGGCCUUAGGGUUGUCAAGCUCUUUUACCCGGGAUGAUAAUGACAGCACCGGGAGCAUAAGCUCCGGCUAACUCCGUGCCAGCAGCCGCCGUAAUAC
rnacentral:rRNA from 1 species